GCCGGGGUAGCCAAGCGGUUACGGCGCUGGCCUCGAGAGCCAGUGGUGCUUUGCACCUCGCGGGUUCAAAUCCUGCCCCCGGCGCCA
rnacentral:tRNA from 1 species